GUUCUCAUAGUGUAGGGAUAGCACAUGAGAUUUUCAAUUUCAUAGGGCAUUGUUGAAUAAAGUUAGUGCUGAGAAUA
rnacentral:tRNA from 1 species